GGAGCGGUGUCCGAGCGGUUUAAGGAGGCGGUCUUGAAAACCGUUGAGCCCGCGAGGGCUCCGGGGGUUCGAAUCCCCCCUGCUCCG
rnacentral:tRNA from 1 species